CAUUUCCUUUUAUUUAAACAAGAUUAAGUAUAAAGUAAAUAAAAAAAAAAAAAAAGAUCAAAUAGAGUUAACUAGUUUUUUCAUGAAAGAAGUUAGUUUGGCUGUAGUAUCAACAAGUGUAUACAACAAGUGAACAGUAUGAGCAGUAUGAACAGUAUCUUCUUAUGCAGAUAUGUAUAUGUUGGGGAGAUUAAGAAAUGUAACUUCGGUACUACAGCGUUUAUAUGAACGAUCACGAUACGAGGAUGCAGGAGAAUGUGUAAGAAAAGCUGAAUAAAUCGAU